AGGGAGCUCUCGACCUCAAGUGUCGUGUGAGUGUUUGUCGCUUUACCGGGGCAAGGGACCUUAUUUGCAGCCUGUGUUGACCGCCCCCACUCCGGCGGCCCCCACCGAUUCCUGGCAACUAGGAAAUGCAGAACUGAAAGAAAAAUAAAAUGACCACUGUAAUUUCUGAUACUACAACAUACAGUAGACCAACUGCAAAUAUGUGAGUAAUUGCCAUGAAUAUAUAUACUCAUGUUUUAAUGAAAGAAUCCCGCUGUAAAAUAAUAAGAAUAAUUAUGCAGAAACUUGUCGGACAAUACGUAUCCAGGAAGUGCGCUCCGGUUGACUACGGUCUGACACAUUACUUCGUCGGGGGGCCCACCUGCGUGGAACAUCCCCGUGUGUGUGUGUGUGUGUGUGUGUGUGUGUGUGUGUGUGUGUGUGUGUGUGUGUGUGUUAUGUGCAUCCACACAAGUAGAAAAAGGCCCAGAAGGUGCACAGAUGUGCAACAUGCAAAGUUAUAGCUCUCCUUUGGCAUAAUGCACCACCAGCGGAAUCUGACAUUAUCCCAAAGGGGAAGACCGGACAUAUCUGGGAAUAUUCAUGAUGAUGUGGAUAUUGAUAAUCAUUAAGAUCGAGUGUGACAGCAUGUGAUUGAUUUUGUUUGCGUUGGGGUGACAACAUUCUGAACUGGAUCAAUGGGAAGCCCACCUUCCUUUUAGAUGUUUUGAAACCUCCCUGCGCGUGCAUAGUUUAGUCAGUGAAUACCAAGCAUUGUAACUUGAUAGCAUGUUCCUCCAUCAACGGCAGAGCUCAUACUGUAGGUGUGUGCGUUUGUUUCACUGGAUAGCCACAGUAUUGGCAUCAUCCUAAUGGAACCACUGAGAGCUACAGUGGGCCAACUCCAUUUUUGGGGAGGUGACAGCUACGGCAAUGAUUACGGUACUUUUUCCUCCGAUUUAGGCAUUUUGCCAAAUAGAAGGAUUCUGAUGAGGGUUUGAUGACAUUUAUAUCAGCAACUGGAUACUGUCAACAUCUUCACUGUCAUACUCUGGAUCCUGUUACGGUUCAUCUAGUUUGCCUGAAAGAAAAGCAACAUCCUGGGAUUCUAAAAAACAAAAAAAAAGUUUUUCGCAGUCGUGGCCUGAUUCCAGACAUGCAGCAAAUCUAUCAGUGCUUCAUGAAAGAUGAUAGUUGACAUUUAAAUAUGCCAGCACCCAAGAUGAAACGCCACUUCUAUUCAUCUCUGAACCGCAUUUUCUGAGAUACUGGCCCAGUGUUGCUCAUAAACAGCCUCGUGCAUCCAUCAUUCUCCAUGAAUCAGGAAGUAGCCUGCUAACUCACAAAUGACAAAAAAAAAA